UACGGAGGGUGCGAGCGUUGUUCGGAAUCACUGGGCGUAAAGCGCGUGUAGGCGGCCCACUAAGUCUGAUGUGAAAGCCCGGGGGCUCACCCCCCGGAAGUGCAUUGGAAACUGGUGGACUCGAGUCCCGGAGAGGAGAGUGGAAUUCCUGGUGUAGCGGUGAAAUGCGUAGAUAUCAGGAGGAACACCGGUGGCGAAGGCGGCUCUCUGGACGGUGACUGACGGCUGAGACGGCGAAAGCGUGGGGAGCAAACAGGAUUAAGAA
rnacentral:rRNA from 1 species